UACGGGGGGCGCAAGCGUUGUUCGGAUUUACUGGGCGUAAAGGGCGCGUAGGCGGCCAGCGCAAGUCAGUUGUGAAAUCUCCGAGCUUAACUCGGAAAGGUCAACUGAUACUGCGCGGCUAGAGUGCAGAAGGGGCAACUGGAAUUCUCGGUGUAGCGGUGAAAUGCGUAGAUAUCGAGAGGAACACCUGCGGCGAAGGCGGGUUGCUGGGCUGACACUGACGCUGAUGCGCGAAAGCCAGGGGAGCGAACGGG
rnacentral:rRNA from 1 species